rnacentral:rRNA from 1 species
UACGAAGGGGGCGAGCGUUGUUCGGAUUUACUGGGCGUAAAGCGCGCGUAGGCGGCUUUGCAAGUCGGGUGUGAAAUCCCUAGGCUCAACCUAGGAACUGCGUCUGAUACUGGAUGGCUUGAAUCCGGGAGAGGGAUGCAGAAUUCCAGGUGUAGCGGUGAAAUGCGUAGAUAUCUGGAGGAAUACCGGUGGCGAAGGCGGCAUCCUGGACCGGCAUUGACGCUGAGGAGCGAAAGCUAGGGGAGCAAACGGG